GUGGGGGACAGAGGUGAAAUAGAGGCGGACAUGGGAGAGGUGGGAGAGGAAGAGACGGGACACGUCAGAGGGCAGAGAUGACAGAUGGGGCGGAGGGGAGCACAGCUGGGGGGACAAAGAUGAGAAACUAGGCCCAGAGAUGCCGGACGAGCAGUGGCAAGGUUCGGCCGAGGAAGCCACUUCUUCUAGGUGCCCCUCCACUGGGAUCUGCCUCCCCCCACUCCCCACCGCAGAGUUUUGGGGACCUCUGGGAAGCACCUGUCAUAGCCCAAGAGCACCGUGAGCCCGACGGGAACGCCUGAAUGCAGUCAGCACCCAGGACAGCUCCCCUGUUGCCCAGGUCACCUCCCCAACCUUGUGGGAGGACGUGGCCCCAUUUGGCCCCUGGCCCUUCAGAAGUGAAGAAAGGGGUCCCCAGAAGAGAAGGAAGGCUUCGAGGUGGAACAUGGCUCCGUGAGGAAAGAGACACUGCAGCCUGCAAAGCGGGGCUGGGGCCCCCUGAAGCCUUGUCCGCCUGCCCUCUCCAUCCCAUCCUUGUGCCCCAGGCUCUGGAAUAGAGACUGACACAGCUCUGA